CUUUCAAACCUCGGACUUCCUGUAACCCUGUCCUACUCUCUGUCCUCUGUCCUCCCAAGUCUCCUAGGAUGUCAUGUCACGUCAGCUGAAGACAACACACAUCUGCCUCAGUCCCUAUUUCCUCUUCCUGCUGAAGCUCAUAGACUGUUAAGACCUGGAAGGGCCUUAGAGACCACCGGUCUGAGUUGUGGACUCCCUGAGCCAUCAGGUCGGGGAGCAGAGACUCAGACCUGGGCCCCCCACGCUCUGAGGCAAGGCCAUGUUCUUUCCACCGUGUGCCCGGCUGUCUCCUCCAGCAAACCGUCCAGCACUCUCUCUAUCUGGCCAGCGCAGUCUACCGGCUCCCGGAGCGGGGAAGCUUUGAUGAUGAUAACAGAAGUCUGUCUGAGGCUAGCCCCUUUUAAAUGAAGAGUUUACUUGAGGGCAGCGACCUGGCAUGAUCCUCCCUACCCGAGUUUUCCAACGUUGGGCAAUAUGCAAACCAAGCGUUAACAGAGAAAUGUCAAACUGGGCCCAUUCUACUGCCCCUCCUCCUUGCCCUUCCCCCGACUGUGUGCCUCGCUUCCUACUCUUGCCACAACCUGCGGGGGUGGAGGGGGAGGGGAGGAUGUGGUGGGGUGGUGAUGAGACUCCCAGAGCCGGGAAGUUCAGCUGCCCUCUGUGAGUUCCUGUCCAGAGCCAGGCCACUGUGGAGGAGGACAGCAUGGGAACCGAGAGCUGGGGGUCAGGGGGAGCUUUUCUUCACUCCGGGUGUGGGGACAAGCAGGGCUCAAAUUGUCUGCUUUUGAGAGUUGUCUACACCUUCUGAGGAGCAGAUCUUAAAAAGAGAGAGGGAGAGAGCUCAGGAGGUGCAGUAAAACUGGCCCACCCUGUUUAAUGCCGAUUCCAAAGACCACUCUACCUUCCAGACACCUUUGAGAUGUCCAAGGAAGUCUGAAAACUCAGGCUGGGAAAGCCCAAGAAAGACCAGCCCAUUCCCUGGCUGUUGAGACAACUGAAGAGGCAGCUGGGAUGCCAGAGAGAGUGCACUGAAUUCGAAAUGGAAGGGCUGGAUUCAAAAGCCACCUUGUUCGCUACCUGUGUCUGUGGGGAGUCCAUUCCUUAUUCUGGGCCUUCAAAGUGAGGAGGCAGGAGCGACCCUGUGGCCCCGGAACUCCGAAGGGCCCAUCCACUUCUCCCACUCCCGGAGCAUUCUUUCCUCUCUCUGAAUCCUUGUUUUCAGGAAAGGCCAAGCAGAAUGCGUCCUGAAGAGAGAUUUGGUGACUGGGAUGUCACAGAAUUUGGGAGCUGAAAGGGAGGAGGCUCGGUGGUCCUCUAGUCCAGCCCAUCCCUGAAAAGACUCCCCAUAACAUACCCAGAAGCCAUUGUCCAGCCCCUGCUUAAAGCGGGGCAGGGGGACCCCCCCCUUCCCCAGGCCCCCCACCCUCCUCCUUGUUGGAAAGCUUUCCCCCUGACUUAGGAAGUCUAGAUUUGCCUCUUUGCCGCUCCUGAUUUUGCAGGUCAG